rnacentral:rRNA from 1 species
AGGAUACGGUUAACGGAGCGAAAGCGACGUUCAACCGCAAAAGAAGCAGAGGGGGCUUAGUGGUGGGGUGACUGCGUACCUUUUGUAUAAUGGGUCAGCGACUUAUAUUCUGUAGCAAGGUUAACCGAAUAGGGGAGCCGAAGGGAAACCGAGUCUUAACCGGGCGUUAAGUUGCAGGGUAUAGACCCGAAACCCGGUGAUCUAGCCAUGGGCAGGUUGAAGGUUGGGUAACACUAACUGGAGGACCGAACCGACUAAUGUUGAAAAAUUAGCGGAUGACUUGUGGCUGGGGGUGAAAGGCCAAUCAAACCGGGAGAUAGCUGGUUCUCCCCGAAAGCUAUUUAGGUAGCGCCUCGUGAACUCAUCUCCGGGGGUAGAGCACUGUUUCGGCUAGGGGGUCAUCCCGACUUACCAACCCGAUGCAAACUGCGAAUACCGAAGAAUGUUAUCACGGGAGACACACGGCGGGUGCUAACGUCCGUCGUGAAGAGGGAAACAACCCAGACCGCCAGCUAAGGUCCCAAAGUCACAGUUAAGUGGGAAACGAUGUGGGAAGGCACAGACAGCCAGGAUGUUGGCUUAGAAGCAGCCAUCAUUUAAAGAAAGCGUAAUAGCUCACUGGUCGAGUCGGCCUGCGCGGAAGAUGUAACGGGGCUAAACUGUGCACCGAAGCUGCGGCAGCGACACUCUGUGUUGUUGGGUAGGGGAGCGUUCUGUAAGCCUGCGAAGGUGUCUCGUGAGGGAUGCUGGAGGUAUCAGAAGUGCGAAUGCUGACAUAAGUAACGAUAAUGCGGGUGAAAAACCCGCACGCCGGAAGACCAAGGGUUCCUGUCCAACGUUAAUCGGGGCAGGGUGAGUCGACCCCUAAGGCGAGGCCGAAAGGCGUAGUCGAUGGGAAACAGGUUAAUAUUCCUGUACUUGGUGUUACUGCGAAGGGGGGACGGAGAAGGCUAUGUUGGCCGGGCGACGGUUGUCCCGGUUUAAGCAUGUAGGCGGGUGUUUUAGGUAAAUCCGGAACGCUACUAACGCUGAGGUGUGAUGACGAGGCACUACGGUGCUGAAGUAACAAAUGCCCUGCUUCCAGGAAAAGCCUCUAAGCAUCAGGUAACAUCAAAUCGUACCCCAAACCGACACAGGUGGUCAGGUAGAGAAUACCAAGGCGCUUGAGAGAACUCGGGUGAAGGAACUAGGCAAAAUGGUGCCGUAACUUCGGGAGAAGGCACGCUGAUAUGUAGGUGAAGUGAUUUACUCAUGGAGCUGAA